CGUUCGUGUCGUUUAUAUGUAUCUAUUUGAUAAUACAACGGAAUAUUUUAUUCUAAUAUUGGUUACAUCCAUUUGUAGAUAAAGAUUUGUGUUAUUUGCUUUAAAUAGUUGCAUAAACACCGCGUGUGUACGGGACGUUCUAUUUUUAAACAGUUCGCGAAAAUGGCGGAAUCCAGUGGUAAAUUUUUACUAAGUGCCUGCCCAUCGUCGUAAUUUAUCAUAGCUGUAUGAAUUAUAUUUCGUCAAAGGUUCAAGGAUAGUGGACAAAUCCGGAUGUCGGGCUUACAUCUGCCGUCUACAGACUAGAGUGUAGGAUGUGAGCUGGGAACACACGUGCGUCGGCCGCCCAAUGGCAUUCUCGACUCUCGAACAUGACUCGGGAACUCAACGCAUACAGCCAUAGCUGGGCACUUGGCGGGGAAUAAAUAAAAUCUGAAGACGAAGAAUCGACUAGAACAAUGUCUAGUGCGACGGAAUAAAUCGGAUGUAGAUGGAGGAUACGAAUGCGAUCGUCUGUAUGCACAAAGAAGAGCUCGGCACUAUCAUAUUCUGCAUUCCAUAUUGUGACAAAUUCCAUUUUGCUCACAUCUGGGAUGCCGUGUAUCAAAAUUCACGUUGCGCAUUGUCGUACCAACGCCAUCUGCUGCAUAAACUGCAAACUAGAAGUUACCCACUACCGGACAACAGAUGGCGCUAUCAAUAUUUCAAGAUGGGAGCUGGCGAAAAUGAACGUAAUGCGCUGUGCCCUUGUCAUUCUUCUUGCCCAGUGUUAUUACACUACUGGACGGAGAACUGAUAAGGGCAUAUCCAUUGCAAAUUCUACAUGGACCCAAAGUCGGUGGAUGCUGUUGGCUCCAGGGCUGUUCCUUAUGACAGUCUAUGGAAGAGAGUCAUCAGCAGUGGACAGUUCAGUGGCUGACAUGAUGAUCACCAACUAUUAAGAUAAUGCAAUCAUAACUUUCACCAUUUGUUCAUUUUGUUAAUAACCUUUAUUCCUUUAUUAAUAUGUAGACACUAAUUGAACAAUAUUCCAAAGUUGAAUUUUCAGUUCAACUCACCAGAGGGAGACUUUGUACAAAAGUCGAUUGCUUGGGUACCUCUGUCCCAUUCGUGUUUCAACCGUGAAGCAGUUGUUUGCAUGGCUGCGUUUCGGUUUUAAGAGUGUAACUCCGCCUGCGAUAUCGGUAUACGCUGACGGGGCACCAGUGAGGGAUGGAUGAUAGGUGAGGGUGAAAGCAGGUCAGUUAGCCCAUCGUGAAGAAUUCCGUGAGAAUUAACCACCAUGGUUUCCAGAGGGAACCGCGUGGAUAUUGCUAGCAAUGGAACUUCUAGAUCCCAUUACUAACAAUCCCUUCCCCCCUUGCCAUGUAGUUACCAUUAUAUCAACAUGUCUUCUUUUCAUUUAAGAGUCUCCUCUUGUCGGUGCAACUAAUCCAUGCAUCUUCCUCCAGCCAGCUCUAUCGCAGGCCAUAUCCUUUAUCUCCCUAUACGAUAUGACACCUAGUGUUUCCUUUAUCUGUCCCAUGUAGUUAAUCCUCGGUCUUCCUCUUCCUCUUUUGCAUAUUGACACGUAGAAUAACUAAUUUACAAUGUUAUUUUUAUUUUAUAAUUCAAAUCUUGUUAUUAUUUUGUUAACUUAAAAAUUACAAUGUAAAUAUUGACUUGUCAUUUGUGUUACGAGAACUGUUACAUUUAUUAAUAAAGAAAUAUAAAUAUAAUAUAAUAUAUUGUAUUGAAAUGCUUCGCUGUAUCUUAUGUUGUUAAUCCUAUAAAUAAAUAAAUAAAUAUUUCCAAAUAAGAGAAUUUAUUUAUAUAUUUAUAUUUUUGCACGCAUUGGAAAAUGUCUACAGGGCGGACUUAAUGCCUGAUGGCAUUCUCUACCAGUCAAUCACCACGCCAGACAGAGAGAGCAAAUGGCGGUGCGUAGAUUUAAAAAAAUGUAAAUUAAAUAAUUAUUUUGAGAGAUAACAACAAUUUAAAAUGAAUAAACAUACAAACAUAUAGAAUAAGAUACUUAGAAAAAUUAUACAUAAAUAAAUUACAUACAAUACAUAUAUAUGGUAAAUAACUAUACAUAGUAUGUAUGUAAUGAAUUAUUUAAAGAACGUAUGUAAUGCAUGUAAGAAUGGACGAGUGGUAGUAUUCCAUCGCGCGUUUUUCAAGGCACUUUCUUCCACGCUCAACCAUUCUUUGGAAUCAACUUCCAGCAGCAGUAUUACCGAACCGAUACGACAACAUGACCUUCAAGAAAAGAGCAUAUUCCUUUUUAAAAGGCCGGCAGCACACCUGCAAUGCCGCUGGUGUUGCGGGUGACCAUGGCCGACGGUGGUCACUUACCAUCAAGUGCGCCGCACGCUCGUUUGCCCCUUGUAUUGUAAAAAAAUGUGACUCCUCUAUGCGUAUCUAGCAAACUGGCUAGCUAGCUAACAAGUAGUAAUAGACAUAUUUUAAUGUGUGUUAAAAAGUAUAAAUAAAUAAAUAAAUAAUAUACAAAAAAAGUGCAUAGUUUUAAGUAUUAUUAUGUAUUAUGAAUAAAUAAAUAUUUAUUGAACUAAAUAAUAAAUUAAUUUAUAUUUAGAAUUAACAUCUGCGUGCUGACAGAGAGGUUUGUUUGAAUCGUAGCAUUUGGCGUUGCAUUGUUUCUGUCUACCGUAAUGGGAGACAGGCGUGACAGAUAUGUAUGUAUGUAACUACGUGCUAUUUAUGUAUUAUUAAUUGAAAAAUGCAAUUUUUACCUUUUCCUGUAUGAAAUACAUUUACAAAAAUAUUGUAAAAUUAAUAUACGUUUAAAACAAAAUUAUAGUACAA